UCACCGGGAGGCCCCACGGCUGCAGUAA
rnacentral:sRNA from 1 species